AGCAUGCUAUAGGCUGUUGACCUAUUCUAGAUACAAAUGUCUACACUGAGUCAAACAUCAUAUGCUGUUCACCUAUUCUAGAUACAAAU